AUUGAACGCUGGCGGCAUGCUUUACACAUGCAAGUCGAACGGUAACAGGUUAAGCUGACGAGUGGCGAACGGGUGAGUAAUGCAUCGGAACGUGCCCGGUCGUGGGGGAUAACGCAGCGAAAGCUGCGCUAAUACCGCAUACGAUCUGAGGAUGAAAGCGGGGGACCGUAAGGCCUCGCGCGAUCGGAGCGGCCGAUGUCAGAUUAGGUAGUUGGUGGGGUAAAGGCUCACCAAGCCAACGAUCUGUAGCUGGUCUGAGAGGACGACCAGCCACACUGGGACUGAGACACGGCCCAGACUCCGACGGGAGGCAGCAGUGGGGAAUUUUGGACAAUGGGCGAAAGCCUGAUCCAGCAAUGCCGCGUGCAGGAAGAAGGCCUUCGGGUUGUAAACUGCUUUUGUACGGAGCGAAAAGGUCUCCUCUAAUACAGGGGGCUCAUGACGGUACCGUAAGAAUAAGCACCGACUAACUACGUGCCAGCCGCCGCAGUAA
rnacentral:rRNA from 1 species